UGGUGGAGUGAUUUGUCUGGUUAAUUCCGUUAACGAACGAGACCCCGCCUGCUAAAUAGUCAUGUUAAUGCUUAGCAUUGACGUUGACUUCUUAGAGGGACUUUCGGUGACUAACCGAAGGAAGUUGGGGCAAUAACA
rnacentral:rRNA from 1 species